GGGGGGAAUGCUCGGCUGGAAUGCCAGGAAUGAGGGCUCACUUUCACUAUGUGCUGGGGAAGUUGUUCUAUGCUUAGCUGACAGAGACAGGAGAUACAAGAGUCCACUGUGUUCCAAGGACCUUGGCUCUCCUCUAUGCACAGCACUCUGGGGAAUUCCUGCGGGUAACCAUGACUUCUAUCAAUCACCCCGUUACUUAGUCAUUAGUGGUACUGAGAGUUCCUCUAAUUGUUUUGACGCUGUGUGGAGGCAUUGUUAUUUGGACAUUUGUCAUGUAGAGAGGAUGACAUGUUAUUGACUUUGACCAACUGCUGUCUAUUUGGUUGAAAGAUGGUUCUAUACAGAGGAUGGUUCUAUACUUCAUGUGUAGAAGUAGGUAAGGGAUGAAGUGAAAACCUAUAGGACGAUUGCUCUCCACAAUGAGGGUUGGGAAUGAAAUGACAGCAGGCUGUUCAAUACUGGUGUUGGUACAGCUUGAAUUAGUCCAACAUAGUAGGUUAUUACUUAUUUGACUAAUUGAUUAUCUAUAGUUGCUUCUUUUGAAACAGCAGCAGUCUUUAAAUGGACUGUUACCUUGAAUGCAACACUAACAUAUCAUUUUUUUUUAAACUCCAAUUGUACUCUGUCUAUGGCAUUUCCAGUAACACUUUACUUGACACACAGUGCGAUAACAUGUUAUGACACGGUCAUAACAUGUCAUAAUAUGUCAUAACAGCUGACAUAACCUGUUAUAAUAUGGUCAUAACACUGUCAGGACACAUAUAUCUAGACCUGUUGUGACAUAUAUUGUGUUAUUUUAUGGCUUUUUAUGACACCUACAUAAGAGUGUCAAAACCCACAAAACCACCACACAAGGCAAAACAUUCCAUUACACCAUAGCCUAGGUGUCCAUUUUACAAAUUAUCAUUGUAAUUGCGCACACAUUGAUGUCAGACAUGAACCUACCCCAAUGCUCUGUUGCUGAUGACUGGGAUGAAUGCAGGAGCAGAUUUCAGGAGCAGGAUAAGACACCCUCUUUUUGACUGAUGACUGAUAUAAGGGCAUGUACGUGAUAGGGCUAUCUGGUUUAUAUGAUUAUGAUGGGCAUAAUGCUUCUUGACAGUGUCAUAAAGUGUAUUUUUUAAAAGUGGAACUGACAGCAUUUUAACUACUCUGAAGAUCUGAACAAACUGCAAACAAUAUCACGUUGACAGUUUAUGCUACAAAACCAACUUUAAAAAAUGUGCUAUAUUUCACUCAACAUUCCAUGACGUACACAAAGGCGUUGUUGGCAGAAUAGAUGGAUGCAGUUCAAGGCAUUACAUUUACAUUUUUGUCAUUUAGCAGACGCUCUUAUCCAGAGCGACUUACAGUAGUGAAUGCAUACAUUUCAUACAUUUUUUUGUACUGGCAUGAUUAAUAUAAUUCACCAAUACAUUUCUUGGUAGUCCAAAAAAUAUUGUUAUCAGGUUGUAAAUCAAAGCUGGCGUGGUACGUUGUUUCCUGCCUCAAUUCGGGAUGCAAAGUUUCAGUUUCAUUUAUUCAAUAUUUUGGACAAAAACAUACAAAUGUACCGUAAAUUCCGGACUAUAAGCCGCAACUUUUUUCCCACGCUUUGAACCCCGCGGCUUAAACAAUGACGCGGCUAAUAUAUGGAUUUUUCCCGCUUUCAAUUUUUUCUUCUCCAAAAAAACACAUUCUGUGACGUGCUCAGUUUUUUGGCGGCAUGAAGCUUUCAUUAGACCAAUGAAAUUGCCGAACGGGUUAAGGUCAAACAACUUUUUUGUUUACUGUUUAGAUUAAAUCGAGCGCUCUCAAACUUCCCAUCAUUCUGAUUACGGUCAUGGCAAAGACACGGAGAAAUGCAUAUGAUGCAGCUUUCAAGUUGAAGGCGAAUGACCUGCUGUUGGAAAAGGAAAUAGAGCUGCUGCACGGGAGCUUGGUCUUAAUGAGUCAAUGAUAAGACGUUGGAAACAGCAGCGUGAGGAAUUGACUCAGUGCAAAAAGACAACUAAAGCUUACUGCAAUUUUUUUUUUUUUUUACAAGCCGUGUUUCGUUAAAGCCUAUUUAUUUUUGUUACAAGCCGUGUUUCGUUUAUGCCUAUUUAUUUUUGUUACAAGCCGUGUUUCGUUAAAGCCUGUGUACAGUUCAUUUGUUUCAA
rnacentral:lncRNA from 8 species